rnacentral:rRNA from 1 species
GACGAACGCGGCGGCGUGCCUAAUACAUGCAAGUAGGACGCCAGUUUAUACCGUAGCUGCUACACCAUAGACUGUGAGUUGCGAACGGGUGAGUAACGCGUAGGUAACCUGCCUAUUAGAGGGGGAUAACUAUUGGAAACGAUAGCUAAUACCGCAUAACAGUAUGUACACAUGUUAGAUGCUUGAAAGAUGCAAUUGCAUCGCUAGUAGAUGGACCUGCGUUGUAUUAGCUAGUAGGUAGGGUAAUGGCUACCUAGGCGACGAUACAUAGCCGACCUGAGAGGGUGAUCGGCCACACUGGGACUGAGACACGGCCCAGACUCCUACGGGAGGCAGCAGUAGGGAAUCUUCGGCAAUGGGGGAACCCUGACCGAGCAACGCCGCGUGAGUGAAGAAGGUUUUCGGAUCGUAAAGCUCUGUUGUUAAGGAAGAACGAGUGUGAGAAUGGAAAGUUCAACUGUGACG